GAUGAACGCUAGCUACCGGUUUAACACAUGCAAGUCGAGGGGCAGCAUGAAAGGAACUUCCGUUCUUUUUGAUGGCGACCGGCGCACGGGUGCGUAACGCGUAUCGAACCUGCCUCAUACUCGGGGAUAGCCUUGCGAAAGUAAGAUUAAUACCCGGCGGUCUCGGAUGGCCGCAUGACUAUCCGAGUGAAGAUUUAUCGGUAUGAGAUGGCGAUGCGUCCCAUUAGCUAGUUGGUGAGGUAAUGGCUCACCAAGGCAUCGAUGGGUAGGGGUUCUGAGAGGAAGGUCCCCCACAUUGGAACUGAGACACGGUCCAAACUCCUACGGGAGGCAGCAGUGAGGAAUAUUGGUCAAUGGACGAAAGUCUGAACCAGCCAAGUAGCGUGCAGGACGACGGCCCUCUGGGUUGUAAACUGCUUUUAGUUGGGAAUAAAAAGAGGGACGUGUCCCUUAUUGUAUGUACCAUCAGAAAAAGGACCGGCUAAUUCCGUGCCAGCAGCCGCGGUAAUACGGAAGGUCCAGGCGUUAUCCGGAUUUAUUGGGUUUAAAGGGAGCGCAGGCGGCGGCGUAAGUCAGUUGUGAAAUCGUGCGGCUUAACCGUGCAAUUGCAGUUGAUACUGCGUCGCUUGAGUGCACACAGGGAUGUUGGAAUUCAUGGUGUAGCGGUGAAAUGCUUAGAUAUCAUGAAGAACUCCGAUCGCGAAGGCAUAUGUCCGGAGUGCAACUGACGCUGAGGCUCGAAAGUGUGGGUAU
rnacentral:rRNA from 1 species